CUUGUUUCAUUUGUGUGACCAGAUACUAUCUGGGGCAGUCUCCUUCCUCUGAAUAGUUGGUGAAGUUUUAUUUUGUUUUUCUCUCUGGAGCCCUCACUCCCCCUUGUUGGCAUCGUUCAGUGGCCAGGUCCCGGGUGAAAAUGAGCGCUGCACCUUCUGUCCGGGAGACAGCAUGUAAACCACAUUAAACUUCGCUGUCAAAAUACACUCGUUCUGGACUGUUCUGAGUACAAGGAACGAUGCAACACAUCGGACCAGUGAUCCACACGCGGGGAAAGGACGGUUUCUUGACUAGCGCUUAAUACUCAAACCCUGUUUGGAAUCCAACUUCGCACAAAACAACGACCUGAAUUUCUUCUGAUCCGAAAAUCGAACUGAGGAGAAAACAAGCCACCUGAAGUCAGAGAGUUCAAUAUUCGAAUCCGGAAGACAGUGUUAUGUCAAGAUCAAGAUGAAGUUCAACAUGCAGGUCCAAUUACCCUCAAGGUACAAAGAAUUUGCAUAGGAGGAGCUAGGAAUGAAUAACCAAGAUGAAGCUGAAGAUCUGAGAUUGACUGUUGGGACACCACAGAUUGUUUCCUGCAUGUGAAGAGAAGCAGGUAUAAAGAAAAACAGUAAACUAUUGGUUGGGGUAUUGACUGAAAAGAGAGCUAUUUGAAUUCUUCUGGUUUUCUUGAACUAAUCACAGAAGUGAGACCUACUAGAAGUCGACAGAUCUCCAGAGUACAGAAUAUUCCAUUGAAUAAUGUGUUUUUGAAGUGAAUUUGCAGAUUCAGAUUUAUUUAUCGCAUGUACAUGGAAAGGUACAGUGAAUGCAUCAUUUGCAUUAACAACCAGGACGCAUGACGAUGUGCUGGAACCAACUUGCAAGCGUUGCGACACUAUCUGGCACCAACAUAACUAGCUUGGCAGAACAACAUGUUCCCAUGUCCACAUCACUGGAUUUUGAGUGCAGAGUAGAGGCCUGGACUCUUGAUGCCUCUCGUCACCCUCCCACGUUGCUGGACUUCAAAUGCAGAGCGCAGAGCAAAAGCCUAACCUCCAACAAUUCCACAUCCCUGUCCCUAAAGCCUAGCCUGACCCCUAACUCCCCUCUCUGUCCCCAAAAUUAUCCAUUUUAACUUAAAAAAAACUAAUUCUAAGCUACAAAUUUGAUGGGGGACCACAGCUUUGUGUCAUCUUGCUUGGAAGUGAACAGAUUAAGUAGAAAACAUUUAGAUUUUAUGAUGCAAUAUCUUUGCCGGAAAUUCAAUUGCAUAAUGCAGUGCUUUGUUUUUGAGUAAUGCAAUUGAAAAUAUAUGUUUUUCCCAUUCGUGGAUUGUUAACGUCACUUAGAAAAAUCGAGCAAACAUUUCCCAUUUUGAGUCACCCCUAAAGCACUGAUGCAACUUCCAGAUCUGGGAGACAGUGCAUGAAGUUAUUCCUUGAGCACUGCUUUUUUUAUACUAUUGCAGAGGAACUUGUCAGCAUGCUGGGAAGUAUAAAGUUGAAAAAUUCAAAGUAGUUUUAUUUUCAAAGUAUGUAGACAGUACAUUAUACAGCCUUGAGACUUGUCUCCUAACGGGCAGGCACAAAACAAAGAAACAAUAUAAAAAAAGAGGACCGUCAAACAUGUGCGGAGAAAAAAAAACACAUCAUGCCCAGUAAAAAAAAACAUUAAAAAAUUUUUAAGACCCAUAAAAUAAAGAAGAUCGUCAUACACCCAAUGUGCAGAAAAGAAGAACAUAUAAUGCAAACAAUAACCACAAACAAGUAGCAUUCUGAACUGAAGUCCGCAAAGAGAGUCCCAUAGUUCACCAUGGUUCAGCGUAGAGCCGAGCUGUGUAGCAGCAAGCAGAACUGGCUCAUCCCUUGACUCGGGCCCUGACACCCUGACCUCUCAAUCUACCCCGCUGCCUAAAUUGGUGUCCACUGCCGGGACAAGUCUUAAUCCAUUUGCACUAACCUGGGAAGUCAGCAAGGUACAGCAGGUAAAUCUAUAGACCAUACCACCAACUACCACCACUCAGGGCCCAGCACUGCACUGACCACCCAGAUCUCCCAAUGUGUGAGCAAAAAACACAAAAAGAGUAAAGAAAUGACAAAACAAUUUAAAAGACAUAGAUUCCAUCUUUGUGGAGGAUAUAAGUAACUUCCCAGAAAUGUUCGGAUAUCAAGAAUCUAAUGGCAAAAAAAGAAUUUGAGGAAAUUAAUAUUAGAAACAAAAGUAGUGCUGUGGAAAUAAUGAUCCUGAAAGCCAAUAAUCUGCUAAAACAGAAGUAGCCACGAAAUUUACACUGCUUUGGUUAUCACCUUCCAAAAUACAAUGUGUUAAUAAAUAGUUCCUGCAGAUUGGUGGAUGGUAAAUUUAACACCACUAUUUCAAAACAGCUGCAUAGGAGAGAAAACACUGAGGUACAGACCUAUUAUCUCAAUAUCAGAAGUGCACAAGAAGCUGGAGUCUAUCCCAAUAUCAGAAGUAUAGAAAAAGCUGGGUAGUAGAUAGUGAUUGCCAUAGUACCACAAGCAUCAGUGCUUGGGUUCUGCUCUUUAAUAGGGUACAUCAAUGAUUUGAACCAAAUGCACCAUUUAUAAGUUUACCAAUAACUCAAAACUAGAUGGAAUUAUGAGUCAUGAGGCUUCAAAAUUUAGACACAGGAAGUACUGCAGAUGCUGGAAAUCUAGAGCAAUACAUACAAUGUGAUGGAGGAGCUCAACACAGGCAGCAUCAAUGGAUGAGAAUAAACAGUCAAUGUUUUGAGCCGAGACCCUUCAUUCUCGCCCCAAAACGUUAAGCGCUUCAAAGUUUAAGUUAGCUCCAUGAGUGAGCAAGUGCAUGGCACAUGCUGAAUAACAUGGAUAAGUUAUUAUCCACUUUAGAAGGGGAAAAAAAACGGCAAACUAUUACUCAAAUGAGAAAUGUUGAAGUUCUCUGGUAAUGUUGUAACUACAGCCAUUGAAUGCAGGCAAGUAAGAAGGCAAAUGGCAUGUAGACCUUCAUUCCAUUGAGUAAAGGAACACGAAUGUUCUGCUAAAAUUAUGCAGGGCUUUGUUCAGGGUGUGUAUGUAAUAUGACGUGCGUCUUUGGUCUCCAAAGAAAAGAUAUACUUGCCAUGAAGGGAGUUCAGUGCAGGUUCAUCAGACUGCUUCCUGGAGUAACAGGAUUGCUGGUCACAGUGAGAUUAGUUUAACUAGGCCUGGAGAUACACCCAUGAAUGUAAUGUAUGGGAUGUAUGGUCUUCUACAGAGGGUAGAAGAUUUGUAAUAAAGAAGAGAAGAAUCCUCUUCACUCAGACAAUAGUGAACCUCUGGAAUUCUCUGCCAUUGAAAACAGUGGAGACCAAGUUACUGGACAUAUAAGACAGACAAGACUGCUUUACAUUAUGAAAUAAUAGCAAAAAGCUGGCUUCUGGAAACAGGACUGAAAAUGGAAGUUUCAUUUUAAAUGCCAGAGGCUGAGUAAAAGAGGUUAACCCAUGUACAGGAAAGGCAGAAGUUCAGGAUACUGAAACAGCUGUUUUUGGACAGGGCGACCCAUUGGAAUACUAAUAAAAAAAUUGACCCAACAAAGCUGUUCUCAGAGAUGCUGAGAUUCAGAGAAAUUUAUUCCUUCUGAUAAAUUUCUUCUCAGAGAAUAACGCAAAUCAAUGUGAACUAAAGGAAAUGACUCCAUUGCCUAUUUCCAAGAAACUGCAUGAGAUAUUUGGUUAAAAGUAGAUUCUGGCUCUGUACAGGAAAACACCAUGGCAGGCAUAGUUCAGUCCCACAAGAACUGGUGAACUUUUCUUCCCUCUGACAAGUUAAUAGGAAAAGUAUUUGCAUUGACAAGGUAAAUGAAGGGUUCCAGUGUAUCAGCUUUAAUUUAAUACACAACACUCUCAUCCCAUCUCAGAAAAUUCAGAUCAGAAACUCUACUACAAUUACUUCAGUACUGACAAAGUGCUGCGUGGGUUAAGAGGGCAUUUUAUGGAUGGACUAUUAAAGUGAGUCCAGCCUAACAUUUUGGCAGAAAACUGUAUUGGCUAUUCAACUACUUUGAAGAAUAAGUUCUUCCUAUACCUAGACCAUUAUCUUUCAACAACUAUGAAUAAAACAAAUUUGUCGAUAUUACAAGGUUAAUUAUGAAAAAUUAAAGUGUACAAAUACACAGAAAUGGAGGGAGCUUGGAUGGAAAAACUUGAUAAGAUAUUUUAUUACACCCUCUCAGAAAUCCCAUUAUGAUUGUAACCCUGUUUGCUGGAGAAAUUGUGGAAAUCAAAAUGCAAAUCAUUAUCAUAUUUUUUGGGAGUGCACUGUUAUCAAAAACUAUUGGAGGGGGAUACACAAUGCCCUACAAGACAUCUUUAAAUGUGAAAUACCUUUGGAGAGUAAGACCAUAUAUUUUGGAUAUAUACCUCAAGAAUGGUUGAAAAGAGAUAAAUAUUUAAUGAAUAUACUGUUGGUGGCUGGUAAAAAGACUCUUACUAGGAAAUGGUUAUCACAGGAGAACCCAACUUUAAGUACAUGGAUAGAAAUUACAAUGGACAUUUACAAAAUGGAGAAAAUAACAGCAUGUGUUAAUCAUAAGCUGGAACAAUUUGAUUCAUACUGGGAAAAAUGGUUUAACUACAUAAUGCCUCAUAGGCCUGAUCUUAUUCUCACAAAUCAAUUAAUCUGUCGUAAAAAAAAAAGAUCACUCCCUACUUGUACAUAGUUCUUUCCUUUUGCUUGCUUUUUCUUUCCGCUCUUUUCUAUAAGUGUAUACCCCGAUAAAUACUUUGUGGAGAUUUUGUGAUAUAUAUGAUUAUAUGAUGUAUAUGUACAAUGUCUGAAAUACAUCUUAUGGAAAUGUUUGAUGAACUUCAAUAAAAAAAUAAAUUACAAAAAAGAAGAUUGAUAGCGAAAUGCUGGGGCCCUCAACACCAAUCACUGUAUGCAUAUAAAA